rnacentral:rRNA from 1 species
AUUGAACGCUGGCGGCAUGCCUUACACAUGCAAGUCGAACGGUAACAGGUUAAGCUGACGAGUGGCGAACGGGUGAGUAAUACAUCGGAACGUGCCCAGACGUGGGGGAUAGCUCGGCGAAAGCCGGAUUAAUACCGCAUAAGCUCUGAGGAGGAAAGCGGGGGACCGUAAGGCCUCGCGCGUUUGGAGCGGCCGAUGGCAGAUUAGGUAGUUGGUGGGGUAAAGGCUUACCAAGCCUACGAUCUGUAGCUGGUCUGAGAGGACGACCAGCCACACUGGGACUGAGACACGGCCCAGACUCCUACGGGAGGCAGCAGUGGGGAAUUUUGGACAAUGGGCGAAAGCCUGAUCCAGCAAUGCCGCGUGCAGGAUGAAGGCCUUCGGGUUGUAAACUGCUUUUGUACGGAACGAAAAGGCGCCUACUAAUACUGGGUGUUGAUGACGGUACCGUAAGAAUAAGCACCGGCUAACUACGUGCCAGCAGCCGCCGUAA